UACGUAGGUGGCAAGCGUUAUCCGGAUUUAUUGGGUUUAAAGGGUGCGUAGGCGGAUUGAUAAGUUAGAGGUGAAAUGUCCGAGCUCAACUCGGGAACUGCCUCUAAUACUGUUGAUCUAGAGAGUAGAUGCGGUAGGCGGAAUGUAUGGUGUAGUGGUGAAAUGCUUAGAGAUCAUACAGAACACCGAUUGCGAAGGCAGCUUACCAAUCUAUAUCUGACGUUGAGGCACGAAAGCGUGGGGAGCAAACAGG
rnacentral:rRNA from 1 species